AGGUGCUGCAUGGCUGUCGUCAGCUCGUGCCGUGAGGUGUUGGUUAAGUCCCGCAACGAGCGCAACCCUAUUUUAGUUGCCAUCAGGUUAAGCUGGGCACUCUAAAGAGACUGCCGUCGAUAAGGCGGAGGAAGGUGGGGACGACGUCAAGUCAUCAUGGCCCUUAUGUCUAGGGCUACACACGUGCUACAAUGGGUUAUACAGAGGGCAGCUAGCUCGCGAGAGUCUGCGAAUCCCUUAAAGUAAUCCUCAGUUCGGAUUGUAGUCUGCAACUCGACUACAUGAAGUUGGAAUCGCUAGUAAUCGCAGGUCAGCAAAACUGCGGUGAAUACGUUCCCGGGCCUU
rnacentral:rRNA from 1 species